rnacentral:rRNA from 1 species
UGGGGAAUAUUGGACAAUGGGCGCAAGCCUGAUCCAGCCAUGCCGCGUGAGUGAUGAAGGCCCUAGGGUUGUAAAGCUCUUUCACCGGUGAAGAUAAUGACGGUAACCGGAGAAGAAGCCCCGGCUAACUUCGUGCCAGCAGCCGCGGUAAUACGAAGGGGGCUAGCGUUGUUCGGAUUUACUGGGCGUAAAGCGCACGUAGGCGGACUAUUAAGUCAGGGGUGAAAUCCCGGGGCUCAACCCCGGAACUGCCUUUGAUACUGGUAGUCUUGAGUUCGAGGGAGGUGAGUGGAAUUCCGGGUGUAGAGGUGAAAUUCGUGGAUAUUCGGAGGAAAACCAGUGGCGAAGGCGGCUCACUGGCUCGGUACUGACGCUGGGGUGCGAAAGCGUGGGGAGCAAACAGG